rnacentral:rRNA from 1 species
GAUGAACGCUGGCGGCGUGCCUAAUACAUGCAAGUCGAGCGAACAGAUGAGGAGCUUGCUCCUCUGACGUUAUCGGCGGACGGGUGAGUAACACGUGGAUAACCUACCUAUAAGACUGGGAUAACUUCGGGAAACCGGAGCUAAUACCGGAUAAUAUAUUGAACCGCAUGGUUCAAUAUUGAAAGACGGUUUUGCUGUCACUUAUAGAUGGAUCCGCGCCGCAUUAGCUAGUUGGUAAGGUAACGGCUUACCAAGGCAACGAUGCGUAGCCGACCUGAGAGGGGGAUCGGACACACUGGAACUGAGACACGGUACAGACUCCUACGGGAGGCAGCAGUAGGGAAUCUUCCGCAAUGGGGGAAAGCGUGACGGAGCAAAGCCGCGUGAGGGAUGAAGGUCUUAGGAUCGGAAAACUAUGUUAUUAGGGAAGAACAAAUGUGUAAGUAACUAUGCACGUAUUGACGGUACCGAAUCAGAAAGCCACGGCUAACUACGUG